CAGGCACCCAGGAGGAGCUGCUACGCUGGUGCCAGGAGCAGACAGCUGGGUACCCGGGAGUCCACGUCUCCGAUUUGUCUUCCUCCUGGGCUGAUGGGCUAGCUCUGUGUGCCCUGGUGUACCGGCUGCAGCCUGGCCUGCUGGAACCCUCAGAGCUGCAGGGGCUGGGAGCUCUGGAAGCAACUGCUUGGGCACUAAAGGUGGCAGAGAAUGAGCUGGGCAUCACACCGGUGGUGUCUGCACAGGCCGUGGUAGCAGGGAGUGACCCACUGGGCCUCAUUGCCUACCUCAGCCACUUCCACAGUGCCUUCAAGAGCAUGGCCCACAGCCCAGGUGACCUGAAGGAAAGGCGGGCAGGAUAACUGGGAUGGGGAGGUGUGUGUGUGUGUGUGUGUGUGUGUGACAGAGGGAGAAGGCGGUGUGUGUGUGUGUGUGUGUCAGAAAGAGGAAGAAGGCGCCCUCUGAGGGCCAGCCUGGGAGAGGUGUCCUUCUGGGUUGGAGAGUGACUGUCUGUUCUGAGAGUACAGUAUUGGCACCCCCCAUCCACACUGAUGCCCUGGCUCUCCCCGCAGGCCCUGUCAGCCAGGCCUCCCCAGGGACCUCCAGUGCUGUAUUAUUCCUUAGUAAACUUCAGAGGACCCUGCAGCGAUCCCGGGCCAAGGUGGAGAGUUUAGGCAGGGCUGGAGCUGAGCAGGGAGGAGUGGGCAGGGGGGUACCCAGUGGAGAUCCUGGGGUGAUGGUGAGGACAUUCAGAAAGUGGGGAGGACUGGGACCUCAAAACAUCACACUUAGAG
rnacentral:lncRNA from 10 species